rnacentral:rRNA from 1 species
UACGGCGAGUGAGCGGCAAAAGCUCAAAUUUGAAAUCUAGCACUUUCAGUGUUCGAGUUGUAAUUUGAAGAAGGUAACUUUGGAGUUGGCUCUUGUCUAUGUUCCUUGGAACAGGACGUCACAGAGGGUGAGAAUCCCGUGCGAUGAGAUGUCCAACUCUAUGUAAAGUGCUUUCGAAGAGUCGAGUUGUUUGGGAAUGCAGCUCUAAGUGGGUGGUAAAUUCCAUCUAAAGCUAAAUAUUGGCGAGAGACCGAUAGCGAACAAGUACAGUGAUGGAAAGAUGAAAAGAACUUUGAAAAGAGAGUGAAAAAGUACGUGAAAUUGUUGAAAGGGAAGGGCUUGAGAUCAGACUUGGUAUUUUGCGUUCCCUUCCUUUUUGGUUGGGUUCCUCGCAGUUUACUGGGCCAGCAUCGGUUUGGGUGGUAGGAUAAUGACAUUGGAAUGUAGCUUUACUUCGGUGAAGUGUUAUAGACUUUGUUGAUACUACCUAUCUAGACCGAGGACUGCGUCUUUGACUAGGAUGCUGGCGUAAUGAUCUUAAGCCGCCCGUCUUGAAACACGGACC